rnacentral:lncRNA from 1 species
AAAAAACCACCGCCCCUCGCUCCACCACUCCCAUCCCCAUCCCUACGCCUACCCUACUGGUUGAAUUUGGGACUCUGCUCCGAUCCUUUCCACUAGGAGAUAGAGUCUCAGUAAGUUAAUAUGUAUGGGAAGGUGGAUUUGGUGCUCAACUUGAUGGGUUGGAAGAGGUGAAUUCGGUGCUCAUAUCGAACGUGUUCUUUGACGCAACGAAGAUGGAGGCGUUGUCGAAGGCUCUGAAACGAAGGUUAUGCGGGAAAGGCUCUGAGAUAGUUGGCGAGGGUUUGAAAUCAUUGAAUUGGCGACUUAGCAUGGGGAUGGUUUUUCUGAUAACUCAACGCGUGCAAAUUCGGAGGUUUUCACCAUUUUCAACUGGUUCCAGUUAAUCAAUUAACUGACGGUGAAAAAUCGUUGCCAAUUUUUCUCCGAAAGACAUACAAAUAAUUCAAAUAUUUGCUUCUGCUAAUUGAUUUUUAGGUUUCAUUCUGUAAUUUUUUGGUAAUAUUACUCCUGGUGUUGUUUGAGAUUGGCUGUGGUGGCAGUGGCAACAAAGGCAAGUAGUUUUUCCAAUUUCAAUUUUGGUGGG